rnacentral:rRNA from 1 species
CGGAGGAUCCAAGCGUUAUCCGGAUUCAUUGGGUUUAAAGGGUGCGUAGGCGGAAUGAUAAGUCAGUGGUGAAAGCCUGCAGCUUAACUGCAGAACUGCCAUUGAUACUGUCAAUCUUGAGUACAUUUGAUGUGGGCGGAAUGUGUCAUGUAGCGGUGAAAUGCUUAGAUAUGACACAGAACACCGAUUGCGAAGGCAGCUCACAAAACUGUAACUGACGCUGAGGCACGAAAGCGUGGGUAUCAAACAGGAUUAGAUACCCUGGUAGUCCACGCUGUAAACUAUGAUUACUCGAUGUUUGCGAUACACUGUAAGCGUCUAAGCGAAAGCGAUAAGUAAUCCACCUGGGGAGUACGCUCGCAAGAGUG